UACGUAGGGUGCAAGCGUUGUCCGGAAUUAUUGGGCGUAAAGAGCUCGUAGGCGGUCUGUCGCGUCGGCUGUGAAAUCCCGAGGCUCAACCUCGGGUCUGCAGUCGAUACGGGCAAACUAGAGUAUUGCAGGGGAGACUGGAAUUCCUGGUGUAGCGGUGAAAUGCGUAGAUAUCGAGAGGAACACCUGCGGCGAAGGCGGGUUGCUGGGCCGACACUGACGCUGACAGCGCGAAAGCUAGGGGAGCGAAAGGG
rnacentral:rRNA from 1 species